GGUAGUGCAGGAUUUGACACAACCAACAUUGUGCAGAAUCCGUUUGAGGAGUAUUGUACCCCAUGCGAACCUGAGCAUCUGUUUCCUUCAUCGACUGUUGGAACAGCAGUGGAUACAAGGCUCUCCACACCAAGCACAAGUAUGGACGUGGCAGUGGUAAGAUAUAACCCAGAUACAGGCACAUUAUCAGAUGCAAUAGACAUAGUUGCAUACAGUAUACAGCAGGGGUUCUCAAUCUGGAUGUACUUAGUUUGUUCUACGGGGUGGGGAUGAGGCUCCCUCACAUUGACCUCAGCAUUACGUUGUCCUUAUGUAGACAUCUUUUCAUCAUGGCAAUAUGUAGACCAUCUUUGUAAAAUAGCUACCACUCUCCUUUUUUUAAAUAAGUUCUCACUGGGUAUUUAUCCGUGAC